UACGUAGGGCGCGAGCGGUAAUCGGAAUUACUGGGCGUAAAGCGUGCGCAGGCGGUUCGCUAAGACAGGUGUGAAAUCCCCGUGCUUAACCUGGGAAUGGCGCUUGUGACUGGCGGGCUGGAGUACGGCAGAGGGAGGUGGAAUUUCACGUGUAGCAGUGAAAUGCGUAGAGAUGUGGAGGAACACCGAUGGCGAAGGCAGCCUCCUGGGCCAGUACUGACGCUCAUGCACGAAAGCGUGGGGAGCAAACAGG
rnacentral:rRNA from 1 species